rnacentral:rRNA from 1 species
AGCCCAGAGCCUGAAUCAGUGUGUGUGUUAGUGGAAGCGUCUGGAAAGGCGCGCGAUACAGGGUGACAGCCCCGUACACAAAAAUGCACAUGCUGUGAGCUCGAUGAGUAGGGCGGGACACGUGGUAUCCUGUCUGAAUAUGGGGGGACCAUCCUCCAAGGCUAAAUACUCCUGACUGACCGAUAGUGAACCAGUACCGUGAGGGAAAGGCGAAAAGAACCCCGGCGAGGGGAGUGAAAAAGAACCUGAAACCGUGUACGUACAAGCAGUGGGAGCACAGAGCAAUCUGUGUGACUGCGUACCUUUUGUAUAAUGGGUCAGCGACUUAUAUUCUGUAGCAAGGUUAACCGAAUAGGGGAGCCGAAGGGAAACCGAGUCUUAACUGGGCGUUAAGUUGCAGGGUAUAGACCCGAAACCCGGUGAUCUAGCCAUGGGCAGGUUGAAGGUUGGGUAACACUAACUGGAGGACCGAACCGACUAAUGUUGAAAAAUUAGCGGAUGACUUGUGGCUGGGGGUGAAAGGCCAAUCAAACCGGGAGAUAGCUGGUUCUCCCCGAAAGCUAUUUAGGUAGCGCCUCGUGAAUUCAUCUCCGGGGGUAGAGCACUGUUUCGGCAAGGGGGUCAUCCCGACUUACCAACCCGAUGCAAACUGCGAAUACCGGAGAAUGUUAUCACGGGAGACACACGGCGGGUGCUAACGUCCGUCGUGAAGAGGGAAACAACCCAGACCGCCAGCUAAGGUCCCAAAGUCAUGGUUAAGUGGGAAACGAUGUGGGAAGGCCCAGACAGCCAGGAUGUUGGCUUAGAAGCAGCCAUCAUUUAAAGAAAGCGUAAUAGCUCACUGGUCGAGUCGGCCUGCGCGGAAGAUGUAACGGGGCUAAACCAUGCACCGAAGCUGCGGCAGCGACGCUUAUGCGUUGUUGGGUAGGGGAGCGUUCUGUAAGCCUGUGAAGGUGUACUGUGAGGUAUGCUGGAGGUAUCAGAAGUGCGAAUGCUGACAUAAGUAACGAUAAAGCGGGUGAAAAGCCCGCUCGCCGGAAGACCAAGGGUUCCUGUCCAACGUUAAUCGGGGCAGGGUGAGUCGACCCCUAAGGCGAGGCCGAAAGGCGUAGUCGAUGGGAAACAGGUUAAUAUUCCUGUACUUGGUGUUACUGCGAAGGGGGGACGGAGAAGGCUAUGUUGGCCGGGCGACGGUUGUCCCGGUUUAAGCGUGUAGGCUGGUUUUCCAGGCAAAUCCGGAAAAUCAAGGCUGAGGCGUGAUGACGAGGCACUACGGUGCUGAAGCAACAAAUGCCCUGCUUCCAGGAAAAGCCUCUAAGCAUCAGGUAACAUCAAAUCGUACCCCAAACCGACACAGGUGGUCAGGUAGAGAAUACCAAGGCGCUUGAGAGAACUCGGGUGAAGGAACUAGGCAAAAUGGUGCCGUAACUUCGGGAGAAGGCACGCUGAUAUGUAGGUGAAGUCCCUCGCGGAUGGAGCUGAAAUCAGUCGAAGAUACCAGCUGGCUGCAACUGUUUAUUAAAAACACAGCACUGUGCAAACACGAAAGUGGACGUAUACGGUGUGACGCCUGCCCGGUGCCGGAAGGUUAAUUGAUGGGGUCAGCGCAAGCGAAGCUCUUGAUCGAAGCCCCGGUAAACGGCGGCCGUAACUAUAACGGUCCUAAGGUAGCGAAAUUCCUUGUCGGGUAAGUUCCGACCUGCACGAAUGGCGUAAUGAUGGCCAGGCUGUCUCCACCCGAGACUCAGUGAAAUUGAACUCGCUGUGAAGAUGCAGUGUACCCGCGGCAAGACGGAAAGACCCCGUGAACCUUUACUAUAGCUUGACACUGAACAUUGAGCCUUGAUGUGUAGGAUAGGUGGGAGGCUU